UGUUACAAAUUUCAUCAAUUUGUACUGUUAAAAACUGACUUGAUUGACGAAAUAACUAGGCAGUAACUCGUGGCCAUGCUAAUGUACGGAGACCAGUUUUUAAUAGAAAAAAUGGAUGGGAUUUUAAGA
rnacentral:pre_miRNA from 1 species